UACGUAGGCAGCGAGCGUUGUUCGGAGUUACUGGGCGUAAAGGGUGUGUAGGCGGUUGCUUAAGUUUGGUGUGAAAUCUCCCGGCUCAACCGGGAGGGUGCGCCGAAUACUGAGUGACUAGAGUGCGGGAGAGGAAAGUGGAGUUCCUGGUGUAGCGGUGAAAUGCGUAGAUAUCAGGAGGAACACCGGUGGUGUAGACGGCUUUCUGGACCGUAACUGACGCUGAGACACGAAAGCGUGGGUAGCAAACAGG
rnacentral:rRNA from 1 species